rnacentral:tRNA from 1 species
UGGGGCAUAGCUCGAGCUGGGAGAGCACCUGCUUUGCAAGCAGGGGGUCGUCGGUUCGAUCCCGUCUGCCUCCACCA